rnacentral:rRNA from 1 species
AUUGAACGCUGGCGGCAUGCCUUACACAUGCAAGUCGAACGGCAGCGCGGGGCAACCUGGCGGCGAGUGGCGAACGGGUGAGUAAUAUAUCGGAACAUACCCUAGAGUGGGGGAUAACGUAGCGAAAGUUACGCUAAUACCGCAUACGCACUAAGGUGGAAAGUGGGGGAUCUUCGGACCUCAUGCUCAUGGAGUGGCCGAUAUCUGAUUAGCUAGUUGGUGAGGUAAAAGGCUCACCAAGGCGACGAUCAGUAGCUGGUUUGAGAGAACGACCAGCCACACUGGAACUGAGACACGGUCCAGACUCCUACGGGAGGCAGCAGUGGGGAAUUUUGGACAAUGGGGGCAACCCUGAUCCAGCAAUGCCGCGUGUGUGAAGAAGGCCUCGGUGUAAG